rnacentral:pre_miRNA from 1 species
GUUCUCUUUGCUUUCAGCUUCUUUACAGUGUUGCCUUGUGGCAUGGAGUUCAAGCAGCAUUGUACAGGGCUAUCAAAGCAUGG